UGAAUUUGAUUCAGUACUGACUACGGCCUA
rnacentral:piRNA from 1 species